UCAAGCGAACAAGUGCAUGUGGUGGAUGCCUUGGCGAUCACAGGCGAUGAAGGACGCGGUAGCCUGCGAAAAGCGGUGGGGAGCUGGCAAACGAGCUUUGAUCCACCGAUAUCCGAAUGGGGAAACCCACUCCGAAUGGAGUAUCCAUGACUGAAUCCAUAGGUCAUGUGAAGCGAACGCGGCGAACUGAAACAUCUAAGUAGCCGCAGGAAAAGAAAUCAACCGAGAUUCCCAGAGUAGUGGCGAGCGAAAUGGGAUCAGCCUGUACUCUUUAUCUUCACUGUUAGCCGAACGCUCUGGAAAGUGCGGCGAUAGCGGGUGAUAGCCCCGUAGGCGAAAACAGCGAGGAAGAACUGGGUGUACGAGAAGUAGGGCGGGACACGUGAAAUCCUGUCUGAAGAUGGGGGGACCAUCCUCCAAGGCUAAAUACUCGUGAUCGACCGAUAGUGAACCAGUACCGUGAGGGAAAGGCGAAAAGAACCCCGGGAGGGGAGUGAAACAGAUCCUGAAACCGCAUGCAUACAAACAGUCGGAGCCUCUGCGAAGGGGUGACGGCGUACCUUUUGUAUAAUGGGUCAGCGACUUACAUUCAGUGGCGAGCUUAACCGAUUAGGGCAGGCGUAGCGAAAGCGAGUCCGAACAGGGCGAUUCAGUCGCUGGGUGUAGACCCGAAACCAGGUGAUCUAUCCAUGGCCAGGAUGAAGGCACGGUAACACGUGCUGGAGGUCCGAACCCACUGACGUUGAAAAGUCAGGGGAUGAGCUGUGGAUAGGGGUGAAAGGCUAAACAAACCUGGAAAUAGCUGGUUCUCUCCGAAAACUAUUUAGGUAGUGCCUCGUGUAUCACCUUCGGGGGUAGAGCACUGUCAUGGUUGAAGGGUCCAUUGCGGAUUACUUCGCCAUAGCAAACUCCGAAUACCGAAGAGUGCAAUCACGGGAGACAGACAUCGGGUGCUAACGUCCGGUGUCAAGAGGGAAACAACCCAGACCGCCAGCUAAGGUCCCCAAAUAUGGCUAAGUGGGAAACGAAGUGGGAAGGCUAAAACAGUCAGGAGGUUGGCUUAGAAGCAGCCAUCCUUUAAAGAAAGCGUAAUAGCUCACUGAUCGAGUCGUCCUGCGCGGAAGAUGUAACGGGGCUAAGCCAUAUACCGAAGCUGCGGAUGCGUGCGCAAGCAUGCAUGGUAGGAGAGCGUUCCGUAAGCCUGCGAAGGUGCACCGGAAGGUGUGCUGGAGGUAUCGGAAGUGCGAAUGCUGACAUGAGUAGCGAUAAAGGGGGUGAAAGGCCCCCUCGCCGUAAGCCCAAGGUUUCCUACGCAACGUUCAUCGGCGUAGGGUGAGUCGGCCCCUAAGGCGAGGCAGAAAUGCGUAGCUGAUGGGAAGCAGGUCAAUAUUCCUGCACCGUUGUCAAAUGCGAUGGGGGGACGGAUCGCGGAAGGUUGUCCGGGUGUUGGACGUCCCGGUCGCUGCAUUGGAGAAGGCGCUUUGGCAAAUCCGGGCGCGUAAUUCAAGGGUGUGGCGCGAGCUUCUUCGGAAGCGAAGCAACUGGAAGGGGUUCCAGGAAAAGCCUCUAAGCUUCAGUUUGACAAUGACCGUACCGCAAACCGACACAGGUGGGCGAGAUGAGUAUUCUAAGGCGCUUGAGAGAACCCGGGAGAAGGAACUCGGCAAACUGGUACCGUAACUUCGGGAUAAGGUACGCCCCUGUAGCUUGAUGCGCCUGCGCGCAAAGGGUGAAGGGGUUGCAAUAAACUGGUGGCUGCGACUGUUUAAUAAAAACACAGCACUCUGCAAACACGAAAGUGGACGUAUAGGGUGUGACGCCUGCCCGGUGCCGGAAGAUUAAAUGAUGGGGUGCAAGCUCCUGAUUGAAGUCCCGGUAAACGGCGGCCGUAACUAUAACGGUCCUAAGGUAGCGAAAUUCCUUGUCGGGUAAGUUCCGACCUGCACGAAUGGCGUAACGAUGGCCACACUGUCUCCUCCCGGGACUCAGCGAAGUUGAAGUGUUUGUGAUGAUGCAAUCUCCCCGCGGCUAGACGGAAAGACCCCAUGAACCUUUACUGCAGCUUUGCAUUGGACUUUGAACCGGUCUGUGUAGGAUAGGUGGGAGGCUGUGAAGCGUGGACGCCAGUCUGCGUGGAGCCGUCCUUGAAAUACCACCCUGAUCUGUUUGAGGUUCUAACCUUGGACCCUGAAGCGGGUUCGGGGACAGUGCAUGGCAGGCAGUUUGACUGGGGCGGUCUCCUCCCAAAGUGUAACGGAGGAGUACGAAGGUACGCUAGGUACGGUCGGAAAUCGUGCUGAUAGUGCAAUGGCAUAAGCGUGCUUGACUGUGAGACUGACAAGUCGAACAGGUGCGAAAGCAGGUCAUAGUGAUCCGGUGGUUCUGUAUGGAAGGGCCAUCGCUCAACGGAUAAAAGGUACUCUGGGGAUAACAGGCUGAUACCGCCCAAGAGUUCAUAUCGACGGCGGUGUUUGGCACCUCGAUGUCGGCUCAUCUCAUCCUGGGGCUGUAGCCGGUCCCAAGGGUAUGGCUGUUCGCCAUUUAAAGAGGUACGUGAGCUGGGUUUAAAACGUCGUGAGACAGUUUGGUCCCUAUCUGCCGUGGGCGCUGGAUAUUUGAAGGGACCUGCUCCUAGUACGAGAGGACCGGAGUGGACGAACCUCUGGUGUACCGGUUGUCACGCCAGUGGCAUCGCCGGGUAGCUAUGUUCGGAAGAGAUAACCGCUGAAAGCAUCUAAGCGGGAAACUCGCCUUGAGAUGAGAUAUCCCCGGGGCUUCGAGCCCCUUGAAGGGUCGUUCAAGACCAGGACGUUGAUAGGUCAGGUGUGGAAGCGCAGUAAUGCGUUAAGCUAACUGAUACUAAUUGCCCGUAAGGCUUGAUCC
rnacentral:rRNA from 1 species